GCUCGUCUGACAGCUCAAAUGAGAGGCCCAAACAGUCCGAUGCAGAACACAGGAGUCGUCUCACUUUACUGUGCUUGCUGGGGGGCAAACGUGGCCCCAUUUAUAGAGGGAGAUGUCGACUAAUGGGAUACGAAAAUAAGCUGUUUGAACCAAAAGGUAAAGCUGCCCAGAAAAGAAGACCCUGGACACAGAAAGAGGUGAAGGCUGUCGAGAAGCACAUGAAGCGGUUCAUCCCUUCUGGUAUUGUAUCAGCAAAGAGUGACUGUUUAAAAUAUUUGAGGGCCGAACCGGAAGCUCUCCAAAACCAUGGCAAGCAUUGAAGUUCUAUGUGUAGAACCGCAUUACGGCCUACAAAAGGAGAUUGCAGGUAAAAUAGUAGAUUAAGAGAUAAUCAGCAAGACUGGUUAAGUAGAACAGUUUUUUAUGUACUUUAUGUUCAAUGUUGUUAAAAAUAAAAAGUAAAAAUAAAAGUUUAAAUGAGUUUGUAUUUUAUUUCUAUGGUUUAAGGUAAGAUAAGA